rnacentral:lncRNA from 1 species
GGGUUCUAUGCACCUCGGGCGCUGUUUGUUUUCCAAUCAUCGUUGAUGUGGUCCAUCGCCUUCCUUUUUCUUUUUCGCUUGGAAUCUUUCUCCGCUCUCAGUGAGGCUACGGGAGUUCGGCUCCCGUAGGCGAAGUCGGGGUGAAGUUCGGCUCCCAUGGGAGUCUGGGCGAAGAUCGCCAGCAGUUGAAGUUGGUGACGAAGUCCG